rnacentral:rRNA from 1 species
AGAGUUUGAUCAUGGCUCAGAUUGAACGCUGGCGGCAGGCCUAACACAUGCAAGUCGAACGGUAACAGGAAGCAGCUUGCUGCUUCGCUGACGAGUGGCGGACGGGUGAGUAAUGUCUGGGAAACUGCCUGAUGGAGGGGGAUAACUACUGGAAACGGUGGCUAAUACCGCAUAACGUCGCAAGACCAAAGAGGGGGACCUUCGGGCCUCUUGCCAUCAGAUGUGCCCAGAUGGGAUUAGCUUGUUGGUGAGGUAACGGCUCACCAAGGCGACGAUCCCUAGCUGGUCUGAGAGGAUGACCAGCCACACUGGAACUGAGACACGGUCCAGACUCCUACGGGAGGCAGCAGUGGGGAAUAUUGCACAAUGGGCGCAAGCCUGAUGCAGCCAUGCCGCGUGUAUGAAGAAGGCCUUCGGGUUGUAAAGUACUUUCAGCGGGGAGGAAGGUGUUGUGGUUAAUAACCGCAGCAAUUGACGUUACCCGCAGAAGAAGCACCGGCUAACUCCGUGCCAGCAGCCGCGGUAAUACGGAGGGUGCAAGCGUUAAUCGGAAUUACUGGGCGUAAAGCGCACGCAGGCGGUCUGUCAAGUCGGAUGUGAAAUCCCCGGGCUCAACCUGGGAACUGCAUUCGAAACUGGCAGGCUUGAGUCUUGUAGAGGGGGGUAGAAUUCCAGGUGUAGCGGUGAAAUGCGUAGAGAUCUGGAGGAAUACCGGUGGCGAAGGCGGCCCCCCUGGACAAAGACUGACGCUCAGGUGCGAAAGCGUGGGGAGCAAACAGGAUUAGAUACCCUGGUAGUCCACGCCGUAAACGAUGUCUACUUGGAGGUUGUGCCCUUGAGGCGUGGCUUCCGGAGCUAACGCGUUAAGUAGACCGCCUGGGGAGUACGGCCGCAAGGUUAAAACUCAAAUGAAUUGACGGGGGCCCGCACAAGCGGUGGAGCAUGUGGUUUAAUUCGAUGCAACGCGAAGAACCUUACCUGGUCUUGACAUCCACAGAACAUUCCAGAGAUGGAUUGGUGCCUUCGGGAACUGUGAGACAGGUGCUGCAUGGCUGUCGUCAGCUCGUGUUGUGAAAUGUUGGGUUAAGUCCCGCAACGAGCGCAACCCUUAUCCUUUGUUGCCAGCGGUCCGGCCGGGAACUCAAAGGAGACUGCCAGUGAUAAACUGGAGGAAGGUGGGGAUGACGUCAAGUCAUCAUGGCCCUUACGACCAGGGCUACACACGUGCUACAAUGGCGCAUACAAAGAGAAGCGACCUCGCGAGAGCAAGCGGACCUCAUAAAGUGCGUCGUAGUCCGGAUUGGAGUCUGCAACUCGACUCCAUGAAGUCGGAAUCGCUAGUAAUCGUGGAUCAGAAUGCCACGGUGAAUACGUUCCCGGGCCUUGUACACACCGCCCGUCACACCAUGGGAGUGGGUUGCAAAAGAAGUAGGUAGCUUAACCUUCGGGAGGGCGCUUACCACUUUGUGAUUCAUGACUGGGGUGAAGUCGUAACAAGGUAACCGUAGGGGAACCUGCGGUUGGAUCACCU